rnacentral:rRNA from 1 species
AUGGUGCAGUUGCGGAAAUUGGUGCGCCUAUUUGUCAGCUAUAGAACACAAUUACCUGCAAGUGGGUUCCGUAGUCUGCAGGCCUUGGAGGAGUUACGCUUCUGGGAAACUGACGACCCAGUGAGAUUUGCGGAGGAAGUAAAUGAGUCGGGCAAAUGCAACCUUCGCUAUCUUCGUACUGAUGCAGAGAUAGCCAAGCGUCUGUUCUGCAACCCAUGCAGCACCUACCCGUGCCUCCAAGUUCUUAAAAUUCAUUCAUUAGCUGGAAUGGUUCCCAGGGGAAUGGCCUCCCUCAAGAAUCUCGUGAAACUACGCAUAAAGGUCACGGAAUUUGAUAAGGAGGAUCUCCAAGUUCUCAUGGGCAUGCCUUCUCUGGCCCAUCUGGAGCUUGAGAUAACAAGAGGGGCCAUUAAUGAAAAGCUGAUCAUCGGUAGUGAUGGAUUCAAACUGCUAAAGGUCUUCCGCUUCCGCUACUAUUCACUCUUCCGUCUUGAAUUUGAAGUGCAACCAACGGGUGGACUGCAGCUAACAUUUGCACCAGGUGCUAUGCAAGCACUCCGUUGUCUCCGGCUUGAAUUGAGCCCAAUGAUUGUGGCGUCUGACUGUUUUGCAGACUUGGGUGUCGAGCAUCUUCCAGGCCUUGCACAACUCGAGGUGAAAAUCAAUUGUUACAGAGCAGCUCCUGGCUGGGUGAAGGCUCUGGAGUGUUCCAUUGAGAAAUCAACCAACUUGCUCGCCAAGUGCAGAAUCCGUGUCAGCAGAGUCUUUAAACAUCACAUGUUUAAGGAUGACAAGGAGUGGGAAGAGGUCGUCGCAAAAGAAUCUCGGGCGAAGAAAGGAGACUAG